rnacentral:rRNA from 1 species
UACGAAGGGGGCUAGCGUUGUUCGGAAUCACUGGGCGUAAAGGGCGCGUAGGCGGCCAUAUAAGUCGGGGGUGAAAGCCUGUGGCUCAACCACAGAAUUGCCUUCGAUACUGUAUGGCUCGAGACCGGAAGAGGUAAGUGGAACUGCGAGUGUAGAGGUGAAAUUCGUAGAUAUUCGCAAGAACACCAGUGGCGAAGGCGGCUCACUGGCCCGAUACUGACGCUGAGGCACGAAAGCGUGGGGAGCAAACAGG